GACGAACGCUGGCGGCGUGCUUAACACAUGCAAGUCGAACGAUGAAGCUGGAGCUUGCUCCGGUGGGUUAGUGGCGAACGGGUGAGUAACACGUGAGUAAUCUGCCCUUGACUCUGGGAUAACUGCGGGAAACUGUAGCUAAUACCGGAUACGACACCUUCGGGCAUCCGAUGGGUGUGGAAAGAAUUUCGGUCAAGGAUGAACUCGCGGCCUAUCAGCUAGUUGGUGAGGUAAUGGCUCACCAAGGCGACGACGGGUAGCCGGCCUGAGAGGGUGACCGGCCACACUGGGACUGAGACACGGCCCAGACUCCUACGGGAGGCAGCAGUGGGGAAUAUUGCACAAUGGGCGAAAGCCUGAUGCAGCAACGCCGCGUGAGGGAUGAAGGCCUUCGGGUUGUAAACCUCUUUUAGUUGGGAAGAAGCGAAAGUGACGGUACCAACAGAAAAAGCACCGGCUAACUACGUGCCAGCAGCCGCGGUAA
rnacentral:rRNA from 1 species